rnacentral:ncRNA from 1 species
CAUAAGGCCCCUUUUUAAAAGGGUGUUUAUUGUUUUUAAAAAGGUUAAAAAAAGUUUUUUUAGCUUAAAAAAUUGGGUUUUAUUUUUUAAUUAAAUGUAAAAUUUAUUUUAAGAAUUUAUAGCAGUAAUUAAUUUUAAUUAUUUAAGUAAUUAAGAAUUAGAAAUAAUAAAUAAUAUAGGCUAAAUUUGUGCCAGCAGCCGCGGUUACACAGAUUAUAUAAAUCAAUAUUUUUAAUUUUAAUUAAUUUGAUUUAAAAUUUUAAUUAGUAAUUUAUUAGGUGAAAUUUUAAUUUAUUAAUAAAUUUAUAUUUAUAUAAUGAGUUAAGAAAUUUUUUUAUGAAACUAGGAUUAGAUACCCUAUUAUUUAAAAUGUAAAUAUAAUAAUUAAAUUAGUAUUAGAUAUGUUCUUGAAAAUUAAAAAAUUUGGCGGUAUUUUAAUCUUUUCAGAGGAACCUGUUUUAUAAAUGAUAAUCCACGAUUUAAUUUACUUUUUUUUAGUUUAUAUAUCGUCGUAAUUAAAAUAUUUUUUAAGAAAUUAAAUAUUUAUAAUUUUUAAUUAAAAAAUAAAUCAGAUCAAGGUGUAGCGUAUAAAAAAGAUUAAAUGGGUUACAAUAAUUAAAAUUUAAGAUGAAUAUUUUUAUAAUAUUUUGAAUAUGGAUUUGAAAGUAAUAUUAAUUAAUUAAUUGAUAUGAUUGAAGUUCUAAAAUAUGUACAUAUUGCCCGUCACUUUCAUUUAAUAUGAAAUAAGUCGUAACAAAGUAGAUUUACUGGAAAGUGAUUCUAGAAGCAA